UCGAGAAUCAUUCACAAUGGGGGAAACCCUGAUGGUGCGACGCCGCGUGGGGGAAUGAAGGUCUUCGGAUUGUAAACCCCUGUCAUGUGGGAGCAAAUUAAAAAGAUAGUACCACAAGAGGAAGAGACGGCUAACUCUGUGCCAGCAGCCGCGGUAAUACAGAGGUCUCAAGCGUUGUUCGGAAUCACUGGGCGUAAAGCGUGCGUAGGCGGUUUCGUAAGUCGUGUGUGAAAGGCGGGGGCUCAACCCCCGGACUGCACAUGAUACUGCGAGACUAGAGUAAUGGAGGGGGAACCGGAAUUCUCGGUGUAGCAGUGAAAUGCGUAGAGAUCGAGAGGAACACUCGGGGCGAAGGCGGGUUCCGGGACAGUAACGGACGCUGAGGCAAGAAGGCAAGGGGAGCGAAAGGG
rnacentral:rRNA from 1 species